rnacentral:rRNA from 1 species
GAUCGUAAAACUCUGUUAUUAGGGAAGAACAAACGUGUAAGUAACUGUGCACGUCUUGACGGUACCUAAUCAGAAAGCCACGGCUAACUACGUGCCAGCAGCCGCGGUAAUACGUAGGUGGCAAGCGUUAUCCGGAAUUAUUGGGCGUAAAGCGCGCGCAGGCGGUCCCUUAAGUCUGAUGUGAAAGCCCACGGCUCAACCGUGGAGGGUCAUUGGAAACUGGAAAACUUGAGUGCAGAAGAGGAAAGUGGAAUUCCACGUGUAGCGGUGAAAUGCGUAGAGAUGUGGAGGAACACCGAUGGCGAAGGC